rnacentral:lncRNA from 1 species
CCUGUUCUGAAUGACUGUGAAUGCACCAUAUUUAUUCUGAAUGGAGACACUCGCCGCUCAGUUCUUUGCAUAACCUGCCCAAGACACGUGGGCUUGCUUCGGCCUAGCACGUGUUGGGCUGUGUAGAUUGAAGCAGAAGCAAUGGAGUCUGCACCGCGUUAAUUUGUUUCUUCUGUUUAGGUUCUCGGAUGGAAGCGGAACACUGCCUACCUGCCGACUACAAAGGUUGGACAAUGAAGGGUAAAUCCAAGGUAAUAAAGCAAUUGGAGUUGGCUGGUAUUUCACCAUGUCCACGCUACACCGAUGUAGUAUGGACAGUACAAGGAAGCUGGCUGCAUAGUCGACUGGUGGAUAUGUGAACUAGCUCCACAAACCUGGACUUCGGCCAGUUUGUCCAAUGGAGGCCAUUGUUGAGGCGAGUUCCACAUGAUCUAAAUGCUUGUACACUUGUUUCACCGUGUUUCAAUGAUGAUAAACCUAGCUCACUUUGAACCGAUGUGAAACUAUACAAACUUACUGAGAAACUUCAGACCCCAUAUUGAGUGUUGACUAUAUUGGGAAGUUGCUUAUGUCCAUUUCUGCCAACAGACAUGGGAGUUGAUGCUGCGGUGAGAUCGUCCCAGUUUGAAAACCGUCCACAUUUGUUGGUGUCUUGGCGCUGGUGUCCAGAGACUACUUCUACUCCAACCAAGGGUUCCUCUGCGAUAGACUGGUCCAGUGAUCUGCCACACUUGCGUCUGCAAACCCAGAUCUGGAUCAUCUUGAUUCUGGUCAUGUGGAUGUUCGGGAUGGUCACGUUUACCAUAACGUCACACGCUGCCUCAAUCCCGUGGCCAUGGCAGACGUUUCUUAAAUGUCUGCCAUGGGCCUUCACUAAUGUGUGGGGACGGUGCUGA